ensembl:snoRNA
GGGGUGUUCUCAGAGCAGGGGCCUAGAGAAUGGCUUCUCUGUUUACAAUACACCCAAGAGGAAUCUGGGGCAUUGUAAUGAGGGGCAGGCACAGCACUGCAUCUUCUCUGUGAGCAGAUCCCUUACAUGC